rnacentral:lncRNA from 1 species
AAAGUUAUCUGCCACGUGCUACUGAUCUCUCAGCAGUUCAUUAAACACCUGAAGCAAACGCUGCCAUGAGCUAGCAGGACAGUGGAUGAAAAUGCUGAAGAUUUACAGCUCCAGUGGAUCUCAUCCAUCAGAAAUACCAUAUGUAAAAGCGGCAAACAGCAAGCCAUACUUGAUCAUGAAUUUCUGCUACUUACAACCUUCGGAAACUCCUACUUGCCUCCUAAAUGGGUUUCUUUAAAGAUGCUCAGUGACCAUAGGAAGAAGAUACUGGAUUUUCAAAAUAAC